rnacentral:lncRNA from 1 species
GAAACAAAUUUUACAUGCUAUUAACACUGGAGAAAUGUCACCUCAAUGAAACUGGAUGGAUGGAGUGUCAGCAAAUUGGCUUGGAACUAAUAAAAUUUCUAUGUCUAAUAAAAUUUACAGGCACAACUUUAUUUUGUCGUCUUUACAAAAAACAAAAAAAAUGAGAGAAAGGAGGUGAGAUACUGACAGAGAUAUUUUGCAGAAGUAGCGCCUCAAAAGCCAGCAGUCUUGUAGGAGUACAAAACAGCGGGCUGCUGUGCUGCCGCCCCACACACGACCUGCGAACCCCAGGAUGAGGCUGUGCCGAUCCCAUCAGCAGAGACGAUGCCUGCCAUGCUUGCCUGCAGUCCACGCGUGUGUCACAUGCAGUUGACCAUCAAAAGAUGCACACCACACACCACAGUAACGCCGAAAGAUCCAUCUCAGAAUCUAUCCAUCCAUCAAGGGAAAGAGAGGCAUUCGAGAGCCGGCUGGUACAGCUUCAGCAUUAGCACCCACCACUCCCUACCACCGCCUACCUCAGUCUCAGUGCAACUUCCACUUUGCACUCAUCAACCAGUGUCUCUGUAUGAAUGGCGUGAAAACGAAAUGCCCGGCCCCUCUUCCUCAACGCCGGCGCCCCAGCUGUUGCAGUACUGGCAGCAGCAAGACGAAGGGAUGUAGCCGGCCGGCGACACAGACGAGGCGAGCGCGCCGGCGCCUGCAACAGCCACUUCUAGUCUUGUAUGCUCGCGAACUCCCAUUGUCGGACGCCCAACAGUACGCAUCUCCUUGCUCUCCUAUUCCUGACACAAGGCCUUCCUUGCUGAGCGAUGGACCGGCCAAACUGGCCAACCUGUUAAUGCGCUCUGGGGUUUCAGCGCCGCUGAGAGAUGCCGCCGAUGGAUGUCCACACACUCGAUGCACCUGGCCCCGUGCCGCGGCUAUCCAUGAUUCUUUCAGGGACGAGGUUGCUGGCGUCGCGCAGGAGGUUCCUCUAGGGAUGCAAUGCGAUGCUCGCCUCCGUCAGUAGCACGACAUCAGGCAGGCAUUCCACCUGCAGCAAGUUUCAGAGAAUAAUGUGGUAUCAAUUUCAGCAAUAGCUUCCACUUACGUGCCUGCCUGCCUGCCUGUCUGCCUGGAUUAAUUUCAAAUGCUCAGCAAGAGAUGACUAGUCCCGCUACCUGAGUGAAGCUGCUAGCAAUCGCAAGAUGCUCCUUGUCAAUAUCCAUGCUGACAACAAGCGCUGGAAGCCUGUUAUGGUCUGACGGUUUCUUUCACUUCUGAUACGGCCUUUGCAGAUGCCCCCAUAUAUGCUGAGACAUAGUUCCAGCAUCAGCGACGACUGACGCUACUUAAGAAGGCGAGGGAUGUCAAUAGCAGUUUAUAGCAGAGGUUAACCUCCAUCGACGAGUACAGUGGAUGCGCCCUGAUUGAGUACUGACGCUUCCUCUGCUGUCAGAAACUGGCUCCUCCGAGGAAGUUGAGUCUUCCUCGCGUGGGUGGUUGCUCCGGCAAGUGGCGAUGCUCACCUCCAUCAGUAGCACGACAUCAGGCGUUUAACCUGCAAAGUUUAAUAAUGCCUUUCAGCAGACAGUUUGUAUCACGUCUAAUAAUGCCUUUGCACAUGCCUUAGUGCUAGUUAGUAUGCGCUGGGACAUAGUUCAAGCAUCAGCGACUGACUGGCGCUACUGCAAGGGAAGGAUAUGUCAAGAGAAGGUUACAGCAGAUGGAUGAGUACAUACAGUGGGUGUGCCAUCGAGCCCGAGCUCUGCUCUCAGAAACUGGCUCCUCGGAUCCUCCCAGGAAGUUGGGUCUCCUCUAAGUCGGCUUGGCUGGAAAUGUUAGAGAUAUCCAAUCCUUAACUUACCAAACCCGUGCAAUAGAGAGGAGAAAACACAUCAGUGAAUGCAUGUGAUAAAUGAAAAACAGAAAAGUGAAUGAAGAAACAGAGAAAGGAAGGAUCAAAUGUUCAGCCUUAUAAUAUUUCAGCCUCAUUCAUGAUCAAUCUUAACUCUGGAGAAAUGUCACUUCGAUGACACUGAAUGGAUGGACUGUCAGCAUAUUGGCUUGGAAGUAUGGUUACCUUGACUAGUACGGAGACAGAGACCUGCGCAAGCAGCUGUGACAGUGUUCCAGCACUGAUGACCUCCCAGCAGCUAGAGGUAUACAUCAUCCAAUCCAACCGACUGAAAAGGGAAGUUUGCGCUGAUCAGUUAGAAGAUUUGAAAAAACAGAUGGGAGCCUAUCACAUUCAGACUAAGUAGGUUACGUCGCGAUGAAACUCACCAAUGGUACAUCAUUUAAAAUCUCGAUGCUGAUUUAACAGCAUUGAUAUAUGGCUUUCCAUUAUCCCAACUUAUGCAUUUUGUAAAGUUCUUCAUGCCAGGGUCACAAGCAGAUAUCACGGGAGAUUGCAUCGUCAAGAAUGCCCUGUAAUGAAAAAUUUGCUCAAUCUCUGCUCAAAAUGGUCCACCAAUCACAGUCUGACCAAAAAAAAUGUUUGAUAUCCAGGUUACAUGUUGUCUAGAACCUAAACCAAGAUGGAAUAAAAAAAACCCUGAAACGUAGUAUCAUUGAUUUGGACCAUGUAUGCUAUGUCAAGCAAUUCAAAUAAGAGUGAAGAUUUAAGAACAAAGUUGCAGCACAAAUUCUAAUGAUUGGAAAGGAUUAAAGAAGCUAAAUCAGAGAAAACUGGAAGAGGGAUGGUUCCUAAUACUGUUACAGUGGUGCUCUUUGCAUGCAGUGCAAUGUAACAAGGUAAGGUGCCACUGAUCAGAUAAUAACAAAGUAAAAUGGCCACCAAAAAAAAUUGAGCUACUUCACGUUCAGCAACUAACAUGGGUGAUCCUUAGGUGGAACUUUUUGGUAAAAAAUAGUGCAAAAAAAGGAAGUGUUUGUUACCUUAGAUUAGUAGCCUCAGAACUUAACUAUGGGUAUUGUUCCUUGCAGCUUCCGGCACUGCUUCUGUAGCUUCUCGUUGCUAUUCGUGACAUCUAGCUUUUGAAGUGAAUUCGGGAGGCUGCCCUCAUGCAGCGACCUGAUAGCAGGACAGUCGCGGAUCCGUAAUAUCUUCAGUGAACUUGGAAGGCUUCCCUUUGGUAGCGACCGGAAGCCAUCGCAACUAAUUAUAUUUAGUUCUGUCAGCGAACUUGGGAGGGUGCCCUUGGGCAGUGACCGGAUGGCACCACAGCACCAGAUUUGUAAUUCCACCAGUGAACUUGGAAGUCCGCCCUUGGGUAGGGACCGAAAGCAGUUACAGUACUCGAUCUCUAAUCUCUUGAGGUUGGGAAGCCCACUUAACCCUUCUGGCAGGGACUGCAGCCUACAGUACCACUCAAUUCGAAGAACCUGGAGGGAGGUGAGCAUCUGCAGGGCCUCCGAUUGCUCCAUUGUGAAGUGCUCCAAGUCGCCAUUCCGACCAAGGCAUAGCUCGGUGAGAGAGGAAGAGAAGUGGCCAUGGAUGGGCACAGCAACGGCGCCCCCUGCUUCCCCAGCCGUUUCGAGCGCUUGCAGCCUGGAGCUAUGUUGGGGAAGAACUUGUUCGCACAUCCGCGAAGGCUCUGGGACAUCAAGUAAGUUGUGCGCUCCCCAGAUUUGUAAUUCCUUGAGAUGGCCCUGGGCGAGGAGAUGCCAUAGGUCCUCAGAUCUUAGACCCCCACAAUCAUGUAGGUCCAAUUUGGUCAGAUUUGUGAGAGGAGCCAGCGAAAGCAUGCCAUCCUUCACACCACCAAGCUGGAGGGACUGCAGGGAGGUCGGGAAAGGGCAGUAAAAAGAGGGGGGCGAACUGGAGGAUAGAAGCAUGGGGCAGUUACGUAUAACCAGUGAUCUCAGAGAGCUCUGAUUUUGAAGGGGCAUGGGCAGCUGUCCUCCUGCUGCAGCUUCUAUUUCCUCUGCUCCGCCUGCCUGCUUGUUACCACAACUCCAUAGUUCCAACGUUAAGAGGUUAGGGAAAUAAGAGAUUAGCUGUAACAAUUCCUUCACAGUGGCACCACAACCUGAUAUCUGGAGCUGUUCAACUGGGAACUCGAAUGGGGAAUCAUUCUCACCUUCAGUUGGCCACAGGACACUAGUACAGUGACUUAUAUGCAGGGUCUUCAGAGAAUUUAGCAGUUGUAGGUGAUGUAGAGGCACUUGUGAGCAUUCACUGAUCCUGAACUCCUUUAUUUCACUCAGAUUACUGAAGGCCAAUACAUUCCAGAGUUCAUGACCAAGAGCAUCCUUUUUGAACCCUACACGAAUUUCCUGCUCCUUUUUGCUGUAAUCUAAGUUCUCAAUAAUCUUACCCACUCUCUGCAGUCUAGCUUUGGACAGAGAACUACUCCAAGGAAUUGGUGGCACUGACACUAGUUCCUCACACUCUGAAAUGUAUAUCUCCUGUAGGUUGGGAAACAUGUGCGCAAAUGGCAGCUCUGUAAGUACAGAACAAUUCUUAACAAUGAGUACCUCUAGCUUAGAGAAAGGGCUAUCUACACUCCAUUUUUUCAGAGUUGCUAUGUUGACAAGUUCUAGAAAUUUCAGAUUCUGAAAGGUUUGCCCUGCGACGCUUGGCUGCUCUUCGCUGACCAUCAACAACUCUCCUAGCAGAGGUGGAAGACUUUUCCAGGCUACACCUUUGAGACAAAGGCAUUCCAAAUUCUUAGCAGAGUGAUCUGAACAUAGCCAGGUAGGGUAUGUGUGACCUCCAUGUCCUCUAAUGCACAGUUCUUGAAGAUUAUUGUGUGGCUUAAGGCAUUUAAGAAGAUCUUGUUCCUUUUUUGGGUCCCUAUCAGAUUGGUUUUCAUCCCAACCUAAUAUUAAUCGAUUUAAGUGUUGCAAGUGGACUAAUUUUAAUUCUUCCAGCUCUGUUGCACCACCAACCUUUUCAAGAUUACAAAUCUCCAAUGACCCAUGGAGCUGUAUCAAUUUCCCCAAUUGGUUCAAUUCAAAACCUUGUUUUUCUCUUUUGACCUCAAAUCUCCUUAUCUCUUGUAUAGAUUUAAGUUUCCCAACCUCAACAAUUCCACAAUGAUAUGAUUGAUUUCCCACAAGAAAAUGACGAAUUUUCACUAGGUUGCUCAUAUCUCUUGUAGAAGUGCACAUCUCUUCUGUGUCUAUACGAGGAAAAGUGUUGCAUUCUUUUAUAUCUAGGACCAACAAGUUAUAAAAUCUUGAUAUACUACCAAAUAAACUUCUUAAAUUUAAUACAUAACCCUUUAUCCUUAAGUAACGAAGAUGGACAAGUUGUGAGAAACUGUGCAGCAGAACCUCCACAUCAUACGAUGCACCAGAUAAGAAAAUGACACGAAGGGUUUUUGCAUCCCGAAACAUACCACUAAAUAUCUUGCAAAAGCUUCCAUGGUGAUCUCCAAAUAACAUCAAAGUACGUAGGUUUCUAGCUUUCAGUCUUUUACCAAGUAUAUCAAGGCCUUUCUUACAAUUUUCAAAGGUUGCUUUGUCCUCCACAUCUGAAUUAUUUAUGAUGAUGGACAUGUGAUGUAUAGAUGCAGGAAUUUGUAUUGACCCCACAUUAGCCCCUUGUAUGCUAAGACAUUCAUGUGCUGAAACAUUUCUUGCCAAGUCAUGGAGUAGGUCAUGUAUAACAUAAUAAGUGUGCCCAUCCUCUUUUUUUUCUUCCUGGAAGAAGCCAUAACUAACCAAGUCGCUUAAAUAAUCUAGUCCAAUAUCUUCAAGUCUCUUGUUUUGAUCGUCGGGGCCUAACAGCCCUAGUCCUAUCCACAAGUGGAUUAACUCUUCCCUUCCAAAUUCAUAAUCUUCAGGGAACAAGGCACAGUGGGCAAAACAUUGUUGUAGAUGAAAAGGAAGAUAGUUAUAGCUAAGCUUUAAUGCUGGCAUGAUAUCAUCCUCAUUGGCCUGAUAUUCCCAUUCUUUACUCUCAAGUACCCUUCUCCAAUGGUCUGUGUUAAGUUCAGUUUUCAGUAAUCUACCGACAGUUUUAACUGCAAGAGGGAAACCUUUCAAUCUCUUCACUAUUUCGCACCCAAAAUCAUGCAAAUUAGGGUUCCCUUCCCAUGUUUGCUGGUCAUCAAACACACAUGCUUGGAAGAAACACAUGCAUUCUUCAUCACUUAACCGUUCUAAUCUUAUUUGACAGCCUACUGUUGCAACCAUUUGUGCCACCUUCGGUAUCCUUGUUGUGACUAUUGCCAUGUUACCUUUUGUUUGCAUUUUCUUAAAUGGGGCUAGCAGUUUUUUCCAUUCAUUUUCGUGAUCUGUCCACAUGUCAUCCAAAACAAGCAAGAACCGUUUGGACUGCAAUCUUUUUUCAAUCAGACCUUCAGCACUUUCAUUUCCAUUUUCAUUGUCAAGUUUAGGGAUUUGUUUUAUGAUUUCUUGUGCCAACUUACUUGCACUGAAAUUCUGAGAGACACAUACCCAUACCAGGACUUGGAAGUGGCUCUUUGCUUCUUCAUAUAUAUGUUGUGUGAGUGUUGUCUUCCCAAGACCCCCUGGACCAACUAUCGAAAGAACAGUGAGAUCAUCAUUGACAUGAUAUUUAGAGGUUAUUCCAUCUAUGACAUCCUUUUUCAAAUCAUCCCUCCCAUAUAACUUUGGCUCUAUAAUCUGUGGGGUGGUGGUUCUGGUGGUUUGGUUGAAAGCAGUGCCUUGUUGGGCUGAGAUGCCAGUGGAGGCUAUAGUUCCCUGCAGCUCCAGAUCUAGAAUUGUAGAGACCAUAGCACACACUGGCUUAAGCUGCUCAACUAUGUCCACCAUCCGUUUGGACAUGGCCACCCGAUCAAACUUGAGUUUUGGCUUUCUACGAUGGUGACACACCACAGAAGCACAGGAGCAUGAGGGGAGCUUCAGCUUACUGACGACGGCCCCAGCCGUGUGUCGUGCGUUGAGGACAAGGCCCCCGACGAGACCUCGGGCAUCGGCGUCAAUGGUCUCAUAGGUCCCAUGGAGCUCAUCUUGGAUGCGGAAGUACUCCAGCUCGUCUAGAACGUCAUCAGCAUCGUACGCUUGGUUGCGGAGCUCCUGCAAGAGCUGCCCCAGUGCAGGGUUGCAGACAUCCCUGCCACGGGCGUUGUUCAGCAUCCCCUGGGCCUACAGGAGUUGCAGCUUGAGGGCGCGGAUGUUGGGGGCCAGCUUCGAAGAGGCUGCCCAAGACUCCAUGAGGCCAUCGGAGAUGGGUCUCAGUGCCCUGGACACCGCCCAGCGUGCUGCGCUGAUGGUGAUCUCCAUCCUCUCUUCAAAGGGUGUUGGAUGACGAAGAUUCUGUGAAUCAGAGCAUCGAUCAAGUUAUGAGCCUGUUCGGAACAGCCGGCAGCGGCUGCAGCUGCAGCUGCACUAGCACAAGAAGCUGAUGCUGAAGCUGGAUCUUUCGAAAAACAAGCUGAAGCUGAAGCCAAUGUACUAGGAUUAGCUCUCUGUUUGUUCUGCAAGAGGUGAAGUAUGUGCAGAUCACAAGGCUAGCCAGCUGCUUACCUAGGCUACGCAGAUGACUGGAGGUGCCCUGCGUGGUCGGCACCGGGUUGGAGUUGGAGCCUUGGAGUGGAGGCUGACAAAGACUCUGCAGCUGCACCACCGAGUUGGAGCGCGCAGACGUCAAGUGGUGAGUGUACAGAGGAACUCAACUCUGUUUCUGUGGGAGGAAUGCGAGAGACAACAACUCUGUCAGAUGGGAGCUGUGAGCCUAUGAAUGCAAGCGCGUGUGUGGUUUUCCCAGGGAACGUGAGAUGAUUGAUUGCAUGUGAGGCUAGAUAUUUCUAAACUCCUUUUUUUUACAGCACUCGAGUGUGAAACAGAGCAUGGAUUCUAGCUUACCUACGCAGAACACGGAGUUGGAGUGGAUGCAGCUGCACCAAGGAGUUUCAGCGGCCAAGAUGCGAAGUGCAGUGUUACUCUCGAAGAGGAAUGCAAGAGAGAACUCUGGGCAAGCAGCUUGUGCCAGGAGUUGGGCGGUUGUUGGAGAUGUGAAUAUAAGCGUGUGUGGGUGUUUCCUUUCCCUGUUUGUUCAAUUAUUGUCCUUAUGCUGCACUUGUUGCUUUCUCGGUUUCAAUGCAAAGGCACUUUUUCCUUGUCAAAAAGAAAAAUGCAAAGGCACUUUCUCGUGGUGCUCCAACGAGACAAAGCAAGGAUUCCUUCCCUGUUUGUUCAAUUAUUGUUGCAUUGAAAUUCUCUGUGUUCUGUAACCAAGCAGAAGCAGCAGGCGCAAGUGCGCAACGCACCCCACCACGCACUUGUGGAUGGAACCACGAUGGAGGAAGGCUCUGCCAGCCGGACGUCGCAGCAUCCAAUUCGCUCGUCCCAACCUAACCUCAUGUACGUUGGAUUGGAGUCACACGCGUCCAAUAGAAGGACCUCCAUUAUGCAUGCAAGUUGGGAUCUAAGACAUGUUGAGCCGAUUCCGCACUGUCUCUCAAAUCUGCAGUCUGAACUCUGAAGAGGCCAAGUGUCCAAGUUUGGUAGACAACAGAGCUUCAAAUUCAGUGUGUUUAAUUUUACAUAGAUUGACUCUUAAAAUUCAGGUUCAGUGUUCUUGAGAGUCAGCGUUGCUCAGCUGAUACUGUGAUGUGUCAUGUGACUCUACUUUGAAAAGCAGGGCCCUUUGCCUUAAAGACAAACUGGACCUAUUUUAUUGCUCUUAUGUUCAUUUAUUUUAUUUUAUAUUAUAGCGAGAUCCAUCUAGAAAGCAGUCACUGGAAAUGCUAGCAGAACAGGACCUUUGACACUUAUCACUAGCACUAUUUCAUUCAGUCUUGUAUCUCAUGUGCUUUUGCAUGCUAGCCAUUUGGCCUACAAUGUCAAAACGCAGCACUUGCAUAUUCUAUUAUUUCUUGCGACGCACUCUUGCAACUUCUCUUCAGCAUAAUAUAAGUUUGAAUCUCUAUCUCAAAUUUGGCAGGACAAUUCAGUCUAGAGAACACCCUAUGUUUCUCCUCAACUUAGACACUACCUGGCAGAAUUAGUUGACCACCUCGUCAGUUAGCAAUGGGUCAUCAUUUUGAAAGGGUCCAUGUCAAAGACUGCCUAACCAUGCAAAGAACACAGAGGAAAAAAAAAUCUUAUUCAGUGAUAUCAACUGCAUUACUUCCUACUCCAGCCUUGACAUUUAACAGCGAAGAGCACAAACUUGAGAGGUCAUAUAAGGCAGUAAUAGAUGUUCCAUAACUUACUUCGAUUGUGGCCGUGUCAACGUUUUCUUGUGAGAAUAGAAGAAAUCCAAGACUGGUGAAUACCUGAAAAAGCGUGCAGAUAAUUAUGAAAAGUCAUGAUAAUAAUUCAGUCAAAGACAAAACACGAAUGGAUUCAAUGCCAGUAGUAUUUGGGUCCACCACGAAAUUCCAUCAGUUGUUUGCAGUAACCAUUUGCAUGUGUAAUGAAAUAGUAAAAAAAUUAUCAUCCAAAGGGGAAAAAAAGGUAGGCCAAAGUUUCAAUAAGUAAACUACCUCAAAAUGUGUCAGGGAUCCAUUUUCUGAUUGCACUGAUUCAUCAAUAGCUCCUUAGAGCCUCAUCAGAAAGAUCACUCAGCAGUCCAACUGGGACAGGGCCUUCAUCAUUUCCAACAGAAAUCCAUUCACGUAUUAAUUGUUGGAAGACGAGGACUGAAUAGAAGACAGAAUUUCAGAGGUGUCAAAAACCAGCGAGACACAAUGGAACUGAACAAUUACAGACCAUCUAGAACAGAAGAUUACCCUUGAAUACCUUGACAUAGAUCUCAAAAUGAACAAUGACAGACAAUAUUCAAAACUAAUCUGUUAGAAAACAAGACCUAGCUCCCUACGAAUUGAAUACGAGAGUGCUAAGUCAGAUAAAGGUACUUUCUAUGGAUACAUCUUGGUACUUAAGACAUAUCACAUUUCUGUGGAUACAUCUUGGUACUUAAGACAAAUCACAUCUUGCUCCUGCAUACCUCUUUGAUGCACCACGAAGUUUCUGUCAUGAUAUUGGAGAGUUAAGCCAGAUUCCACACAACAAUUGCAAGCGAUUGACGAAGCCGAUGGAGAGUUAAGAUUACACCUGGAGUAACAGCCCACAUUGUAGCCUUGAACCCCAUGAUUCAUGAACCAUGAUACUGGACAGGAACAAAAGCAGUAGAACCUUCCCUACAAGCACAACUAUUCAGUUAAUCCCUGCAAUCACCGUACUAGCCGUCGAGACGAGGGAACGGGAGCCUCACCGGGCAGUGGGUGUGGGGAGUCACCGAGCCAGCAGAGGAGGCGGACCAUACCGGCCGAGGUCGAAUCCUUCGUCGGAGUCGGUGCCAGCGCCGCGCGGUACGUCCGAGCGCUCGUAGUUGCGCAGCCGCUCCGUGUACUCGAAGAAAUCCCCGGUCGGGCCCUCCGCUUCGCCUCCGUGCUCCGGCAAUAGCAGACAGGUCGCGGCGGGUGCUGCUCCCCAGCAGCAUACCAUUCGGGAGGCCGAGUGCGGCGGAGAAGCGACCUACUAUCCGUCGCGUCCGUGCUGCAGCGGCGGGAGGCGCCGGAGUCGCGGACGUGAUGCUCUGAUGGAGAUGCAGCGAAUUGCAGAUUACAGACGAACGGGCCUCCAGGUGGUGCGGAAGUGGGGAGGACGCCGGAGCCGGGGAGACUGCACUCUUCCGGGGAGGCGAUUAACAAUAUCUACUCCAAUCGAUGGCUGAAUGUCAGCAACGCAUUUGCGACAUGGGAUGGAAGAGCUUGACUGACUAAACUCUCCGGGGAGGCGUUGAAACUGGAUUGAUUUCAUGAUUGAUGGACUUUUGUGUGAAUUAAUAUGUUGCAGGUGACACGAGACAAAUUGGUGAUGCCUUAUCAUCACUCACGAACCUGUAUCUUGCAAAUCUAUGGAAAACUUCAAGGGUUUUGCCUGGCAUACUGAACUCUGUGAUAUACUGAUGCCAAGCCUUCCAAAUCCAAAAUUACUCCAAAACUUCAGGCUUCAGUUUUGUGAAGUACAUUCCGCCGGGGCCUGCCUGCAACACAUUAGUAACAGUGCUCUUUUUUGUUUGAACCUAACUUCCUGUAGAGAAUGGGGGAGGACAAUUAUACAAGCAAGCAGGUAUAAGAAAACAAUACAAACUUUGACACGAUGCUUUUACGUGGAAAAAACUCCUCAAAAUGAGGAGUAAAAAACCACGGGACCAUCACGGUCCACUGCCAAAUUUUCCAUUAUGAGGAUGAUGAUGAAUACAAGUAGUCGUUACAAUAUCAAAAGACAAAACUCUUGCACGACCAAACAUGACCACAAAAGUAAUCAAGAGUUAACCACUUCACCAAGAAAAGGCCACACUGCUGAAUUUGACAACCUGAAGCAGCCAAUCCAUUUUGCACGCUGCUGAAAAGAAAAAAAAUUGCGCUGAUCAGUUGGAAAGUUUGGAAAACAGAUGGGAACCUAUCAAGUUCAGAUGUAGUAGUAGGUGAGGUUCACGAUGUAACUCACCAAUGGUACAUCAUUUGAAAUCUUGGUGCUGAUGUAACAGCAUCGAUCUGGCUUUCUAUUAUCCCAACCUAUGCAUUUUGUAAAGCUCUUGAUACCAGGAGCACAAGAGAUGUGCCCGGUCACCAAUAACUUGCUCAAUGCCUGCUGAAAAUGGUCCACCAAUCACAACCUGACAAAAAAAUGUUUGAUGUCCAGGUUACAUGCAUGUUGUCUAGGACCGAACCCAAGGUGGGAUUUUUUUUUAAAAAAAAUAUCAAUUGUAUUAUCCUCAUUUGAAUCAUGUAUGUUACGAAAUUCAUAUAUGAGUAGAGGUCAGAUUUAAGAACAAAAUUGCAGCACAGAUUCUAAUGAUUGGAGAGGACUGAAGAUAGCUAAAUUAGAGGAAACUGGAAGAGGGAGAGUUCCUAAUACUGCUGCAGUGUUGCUCCUUGCAUGCAAUGCAAUGUGACAGGGUAAAGGUUCCAUUGAUCAGAUAAUAACAAAGUAAAAUGGCCACCAAAAAAAAUUAAGCUACUUCACAUUCAGCAACUAACAUGGGUGAUCCUUUGGUGGAACCUUUUGGUAAAACAUAGUGCCAAAAAAAAAGAAGUGUUUGUUACCUUGGAUUAGUCUCGGAACUUAACUAUGGGUAUUGUUCCUUGCAGCUUCCGGCACUGCUUCUGUAGCUUCUCGUGGCUAUCCGUGACAUCUAGCAUUUGAAGUGAAUUCGGGAGGCUGCCCUCAUGCAGCGACCUGAUAGCAGGACAGCGGUGGAUCACUAAUAUCUUCAGUGAACUUGGAAGGCUUCCCUUUGGUAGCGACCGGAAGCCAUCGCAACGAACUAUGUGUAGUUUUGUCAGCGAACUUGGGAGGGUGCCCUUGGGCAGUGACCGGAUGGCAUCACAGCCCCGUAUUUCUAAUUCCACCAGGGAACUUGGGAGGGUGCCCUUGGGCAGCGACCGGAUGGCCUUACAGAACGAGAUAUGUAAUUCCACCAGUGAACUUGGAAGGCCGCCCUUGGGUAGCGACCGGAAGGAGCCACAGAACCCGAUCUCUAAUAUCUUGAGGUUGGGAAGCCCACCUAACCCUUCUGGCAGGGACUGCAGCCUAGAGUACCCCAAAAUUCGAAGAACCUGGAGAGAGGUGAGCAUCUGCAGGGCCUCCGAUUGCUCCAUUGUGAAGUGCUCCAAGUCGUCAUUCCCACCAAGCUCUAGCUCGGUGAGAGAGGAAGAGAAGUGGCCACCGACGGGCACAGCAACGGCGCCCCCUGCUUCCCCAGCCGUUUCGAGCGCUUGCAGCCUGGAGCUAUGUUGGGGAAGAACUUGUUCGCACAUCCGCGAAGGCUCAGGGACAUCAAGUAAGUUGUGCGCUCCCCAGAUUUGUAAUUCCUUGAGACGACCCUGGGCGAGGAGAUGCCAUAGGUCCUCAGAUCUUAGACCCCCACAAUCAUGUAGGACCAAUUCGGUCAGAUUUGUGAGAGGAGCCAGCGUCAGCAUGCCAUCCUUCACACCCUCAAGCACGAGGGACUGCAGGGAGGUCGAGAAAGGGCAGUAAAAGGAGGGGAGCAAACUGGAGGAUAGAAGCGUGGGGCAAUCCCAUAUAAACAGUGAUCUCAGAGAGCUCUGAUUUUGGAGCAACUCCUUCAAUUGGAGGGGCAUGGGCAGCUGUCCUCCUGCUGCAGCUUCUAUUUCCUCUGCUUCUCCUGCCUGCUUGUUACCACACCUCUGUAGGUCCAACGUUGAGAGGUUAGGGAAAUAAGAGAUUAGCUGUAACAAUUCCUUCACAGUGGCACCACAAUCUGAUAUCUGGAGCUGUUCAACUGGGAACUCGAAUGGGGAAUCAUUCUCACCUUCAGUUGGCCACAGGACACUAGUACAGUGACUUAUAUGCAGGGUCUUCAGAGAAUUUAGCAGUUGUAGGUGAUGUAGAGGCACAAGUGGGCAUUCACUGAUCUUGAACUCCUUUAUUUCACUCAGAUUAGUAAAGGCCAAUACAUUCCAGAGUUCACGAUCAAGAGCAUCCUUUUUGAACUGUACACUCAUUUUCUGUUCCUUUCUGCUGUAAUCUAAGUUCUCAAUACUCUUACCUACUUUCCACAGUCUAGCUUCGGACAGAGAACUACUCCAAGGAAUUGGUGGCACUGACACUAGUUCCUUACACUCUGAAAUGUAUAUCUCCUGUAGGUUGGGAAACAUGUGCGGAGAUGGCAACUCUGUAAGUUCAAAACAAUCCUCAAUAGUGAGUACCUCUAGCUUAGAGAAAGGGCUAUCUACACUCCAUUUUUUCAGAGUUGCUAUGUAGACAAGUUCUAGCCUCUUCAGAUUCUGAAAGGUUUGCCCUGCGACGCUUGGCUGCUCUUCGCCGACCAUCAACAACUCUCCUAGCAGAGGUGGAAGACUUUUCCAGGCUACACCUUCAAGGCAAAGGCAUUCCAAAUUCUUAACAGAGUGGUCUGAACAUAGCCAGGUAGGGUAUGUGUGACCUCCAUGUCCUCUAAUGCACACUUCUUGAAGAUUAUUGUGUGGCUUAAGGCAUUCAAGAACAUCUUGUUUCUUUUUUGGAUCCCUAUCAGACUGGUAUCUAUCCCAACCUAAUAUUAAUCGAUUUAAGUGUUGCAAGUGGACUAAUUUUAAUUCUUCCAGCUCUGUUGCACCACCAACCUUUUCAAGAUUACAAAUCUCCAAUGACCCAUGGAGCUGUAUCAAUUUCCCCAAUUGGUUCAAUUCAAAACCUUGUUUUUCUCUUUUGACCUCAAAUCUCCUUAUCUCUUGUAUAGAUUUAAGUUUCCCAACCUCAACAAUUCCACAAUGAUAUGAUUGAUUUCCCACAAGAAAAUGACGAAUUUUCACUAGGUUGCUCAUAUCUCUUGUAGAAGAGCACAUCUCUUCUGUGUCUAUACGAGGAAAAGCGCCGCAUUCUUUUAUAUCUAGGACCAACAAGUUAUAAAAUCUUGAUAUACUACCAAAUAAACUUCUUAAAUUUAAUACAUAACCCUUUAUCCUUAAGUAACGAAGAUGGACAAGUUGUGAGAAACUGUGCAGCAGAACCUCCACAUCAUACGAUGCACCAGAUAAGAAAAUGACACGAAGGGUUUUUGCAUCCCGAAACAUACCACUAAAUAUCUUGCAAAAACUUCCAUGGUGAUCUCCAAAUAACAUCAAAGUACGUAGGUUUCUAGCUUUCAGUCUUUUACCAAGUAUAUCAAGCCCUUUCUUACAAUUUUCAAAGGUUGCUUUUUCCUCCACAUCUGAAUUAUUUAUGAUGAUGGACAUGUGAUGUAUAGAUGUAGGAAUUUGUAUUGACCCCACAUUAGCCCCUUGUAUGCUAAGACAUUCAUGUGCUGAAACAUUUCUUGCCAAGUCAUGGAGUAGGUCAUGUAUAACAUAAUAAGCGUGCCUAUCCUCUUUUUUUUCUUCCUGGAAGAAGCCAUAACUAACCAAGUCGCUUACAUAAUCUAGUCCAAUAUCCUCAACUCUCUUGUUUUGAUCGUCGGGGCCUAACAGCCCUUGUCCUAUCCACAAGUGGAUUAACUCUUCCCUUCCGAAUUCAUAAUCUUCAGGGAACAAGGCACAAUGGGAAAAACAUUGUUGUAGAUGAAAGUGAAGAUAGUUAUAGCUAAGCUUUAAUGCUGGCAUAAUAUCAUCCUCAUUGGCCUGAUAUUCCCAUUCUUUACUCUCAAGUACUCUUCUCCAAUGUUUUGGGGUAAGUUCAGUUUUCAGUAAUCUACCGACAGUUUUUACUGCAAGAGGGAAACCUUUCAAUCUCUUCACUAUUUUGUACCCGAAAUCAUGCAAAUUAGCAUGCCCUUCCCAUGUUUGUCGGUUACCAAACACACAUUCUUGGAAGAAACACAUGCAUUCUUCAUCACUUAACCGUUCUAAUCUUAUUUGACAGCCUACUGUUGCAACCAUUUGUGCCACCUUCGGAAUCCUUGUUGUGACUAUUGCCAUGUUACCUUUUGUUUGCAUUUUCUUAAAUGGGGCUAGCAGUUUUUUCCAUUCAUUUUCGUGAUCUGUCCACAUGUCAUCCAAAACAAGCAAGAACCGUUUGGACUGCAAUCUUUUUUCAAUCAGACCUUCAGCACUUUCAUUUCCAUUUUCAUUGUCAAGUUUAGGGAUUUGUUUUACGAUUUCUUGUGCCAACUUACUUGCACUGAAAUUCUGAGAGACGCAUACCCAUACCAGGACUUGGAAGUGGCUCUUUGCUUCUUCAUAUAUAUGUUGUGUGAGUGUUGUCUUCCCAAGACCCCCUGGACCAACUAUCGAAAGAACAGUGAGAUCAUCAUUGACAUGAUAUUUAGAGGUUAUUCCAUCUAUGACAUCCUUUUUCAAAUCAUCCCUCCCAUAUAACUUUGGCUCUAUAAUCUGUGGGGUGGUGGUUCUGGUGGUUUGGUUGAAAGCAGUGCCUUGUUGGGCUGAGAUGCCAGUGGAGGCUAUAGUUCCCUGCAGCUCCAGAUCUAGAAUUGUAGAGACCAUAGCACACACUGGCUUAAGCUGCUCAACUAUGUCCACCAUCCGUUUGGACAUGGCCACCCGAUCAAACUUGAGUUUUGGCUUUCUACGAUGGUGACACACCACAGAAGCACAGGAACAUGAGGGGAGCUUCAGCUUACUGACGACGGCCCCGGCCGUGUGGCGUGCGUUGAGGACAAGGCCCCCGACGAGACCUCGGACAUCGGCGUCAAUGGUCUCAUAGGUCCCGUCGAGCUCGUCUUGGAUGCGGAAGUACUCCAGCUCGUCUAGAACGUCAUCAGCAUCAAAUGCUUGGUUGCGGAGCUCCUGCAAGAGCUGCCCCAGUGCCGGGCUGCGGACAUCCCUGCCACGGGCGUUGUCUAGCAUCCCCUGGGCGUACAGGAGUUGUAGCUUGAGGGCGCGGAUGUUGGGGGCCAGCUUCGAAGAGGCUGCCCAAGACUCCAUGAGGCCAUCGGAGAUGGGUCUCAGUGCCCUGGACACCGCCCAGCGUGCUGCGCUGAUGGUGAUCUCCAUCCUCUCUUUCAAAGGAUGUUGGAUGACGAAGAUUCUGUGAAUCAAAGCAUCGAUCAAGUUAUGAGCCUGUUCGGAACAGCCGGCAGCGGCUGCAGCUGCAUCUGCACUAGCACAAGAAACGGUGCUGCGCGAGGCUUUGUUUGCAGCAACAGCUGCAGUGGCAAGAAGCUGAUGCUGAAGCUGGAUCUUUCGAAAAAGAAGCUGAAGCUGAACUAGCCAAUGUACUAGCAUUAGCUCGCUGUUUGUUCUGCAAGAGGUGAAGUAUGUGCAGAUCACAAAGCUAGCCAGCUGCUUACCUAGGCUACGCAGAUGGCUGGAGGUGCCCUGCGUAGUCGGCACCGGAUCGGAGACUGGAGCAGCUGCAACGAGAGUUGGAGCCUUGGAGGCCGCGGAUGUGAAGAGGUGACAAAGACUCUGCAGCUGCGGCACCGAGUUGGAGCGCGCAGACGUCAAGUGGUGAGUGUGAGAGACAACAACUCUGGGAGGAUGAGGAAGGUUGGGUGGCCUGUGAAUGCAAGCGCGUGUGGUUUUCUCAGGGAAGGUGAGAUGAUUGAUUGCAUGUGAGGCUAGAUAUUUCUGAACUCUUUUUUUUUUUACAGCACUCGAGUGUGAAACAGAGCAUGGAUCCUACCUUACAGCUUCAAAAGAUGGAUUAGCUUUUACAAAAGAUGGAUUAGCUUUUACAAAAGAUGGAUUGCUAUGAACUACAGCAAUUCAAUCCUGAAUUUCAGCUUGUGUUUGCACAAGCUGAAUUCCCCCUUGAAGCAAAGAAAUCAACUGAGACAAAUGUUGUAAUUCCGUUCAGUUAUUUGAACUCAUAUUAAAGCUUCUCCAGGACCUUAUUAACCUUGCUUGAAAUCAUGUCACAGUGUGAAAUCACCUGACUCAUGCAGUGAGGUCGGGUUCCAGCUGGUGCCACCGAAAUUGCAGGGCAGAAAUUAUUGUCCUUGCUUCCCUGUUUACUCAAUUAUUGUCCUUCACGUUGCUCUUGUUGCUUUCUCCUCUGUCUAUUCUUGCACAUGGAGCUCGUGGACCCAGCCAUGAAUUCAGCAUCUGUCUGGACGUCCCAGUGUCUUCAUGAAAAGACUUUAAACCUCAAGUGAACAGGACGUCCGACGACCAUUGACCUGGACCUGGACACGGAACCACAGCGAGCCGAUCCAAGAAGCCGCGGCCACAUCGAGCCGAGUAGAAGGAGCUCCUUUAACCAUGCAAUUCAAGAUGGGAUCGAAGAACCUUCAGCGAAUCAACUUGGACUGACUGACUGAACUGUGCAGUCUGAAGAGGCCAAUUGUCCAAAGUUUGGUAGCCAACAGGGCUUCACAUUCAGUGUGUUUAACAGAGCUUGACUCUGAAAAUUCAGGUUCAGGCCUUGUUUGGAUGUAGUCGGAUUCGCAUCAAUCCACAUAUAUUGGUGUGGGUUGGAGUGGAACUUGAACUAAAUUCCACCCCAAUCCACUCCAACACAUGUGGAUUGAGGUGAAUCCGACAACAUCCAAACAAGGCCUCAGUGUUCUUGACAGUCUGCGUUGGACAGCUGAUAUUUUGAUAUGUGAUUCUACUUUGAAAACCAGGGUCCUUUGCCUUCAAGACAAACUAGACCUAUUUUAUUGCUCCUAUGUUCAUUUGAUUUUAGAUUAUAGUGAGAUUGAGAUCCAUCCGGAAAGCAAUCGUUGAAAAUGCUAGCAGAGCAGAACUUUACUAGCACUAUUUCGUUCAGUCCUGUAUCUCAUGUGCUUUCGCAUGCUAGCCAUUUGGCCUACACUCUCAAAAUGCAGCAGUUGCCUGUUCUAUUCCUAGCGGCACACUCUUGCACACUUUGAUUCAGCAGAAUGUAAGUUUGACAAACUUAAUUUGGCAAGCCAAUUCAGUCUAGAGAACAACCUAUAUAUCGUCUCAACUUAGACAUUAUCUAGCAUAAUCAAUUGACAACCUCUUCAGUUAGCAAUUUGCCAUCAUUUUGAAAGGGUCCAUGUCGAGGACUGCCUAACCAUGCAAAUAACUCAUAAUAAAACUUUUUCUUGCUACAAUGACAUCAAUUGCGUUACUUCCUAUUCCAGCCUUAGACAUUUAACAGCGAAGAGCACAAAACUUGAGAGGUCAUAUAAAGGUGGUAAACUAGUAAUAGAUGUUGCAUAACUUACUUUGAUGAUGUCAGUGUCAACGUUUUCUUGUGACAAUAGAAGAAAUGCAGGAGCAGUAAAAACCUGCAAAAGCAUGGAGAUAAUUACGAAAAUCAUGAUAUUAAUUCGAUGAGAGACAAGACAUGAACAGAUUCAAUGCCAGUAGUAUUAGAACUGCAUUCACCGCACUAGCCGUCGAGUCAAGGGAACGGGAGCCUCACCGGGCAGUGGGUGUGGGGGGCCACCGUGCUGACAGACGAAGAGGCGCAUGCUGCCGACGUCGAAUCCGUCGUCGGAGUCGUUGCCGGCGCCGCCGCAAGACGCCGAGUGCUCAUAGUUUUUUUUUUUUUUUUUUUUUUGAACUUCGAGUGCUCAUAGUUGAGCAAGCGCUCCAUGUACUCGAAGAAAUCCCCGGGUGGACCCUCCGCCUCGCCUCCGGGCUGCGGCCAUAGCGGACAGGCCGCGGCGAGUGCUACUCCCUAGCAGCAUACUUCGUGGGCGGCGGCGGGGAAGCGACCUAACAUCCGUCGUGGCCGUCCUGCGGCGGCAGGAGGCGCCGGAGUCGUGGCCUCGAUGCUCAGAUGCAGCGAAUCAAGCAGGAAGGAAGGGAGGGCGCCGGAGUCGGGCGGCAGAGGACGUGUGCGAGGAGGGAGACAACGAUGGGAGCAGAGGAAUCCCUGAAGAUGGAUUGAUGAUUUAUCUGCUCCACUCUCCAAUGAAUGCUGAACGUCAGCAAUGCCUUUGCCAUAUGGGAUGGAAGACAUCUUCAACAAAUUCAGCUUGACUGACUGAACUCUGCAUCUUCUUCAGCAAGUGUCGAAGUUGGUAGACAGACACAGCAGGGAUUCACAUUCAGAGUGUUCUCAUGAACAUUAUCCAAAUUGAUAACAAAAGUUUCAGAUAGAAUAAAUUCAACCUUUACAUUCAUGAUUGCACUUGACUGGAGAAUGUGCCGCAACCUGCUUGGCACACACACGUAUACAACAUCAUCUUUUGACCAAUAAACUGCUUCAAGCGAAAUAAUAACAGUGAAAUAUUUGAAAUCGAAACGUUUUGUUUUUAACAUCUUCGUUGUCUAAGUCUGAGAGACCCCAAAUUGCUCGAUGGUAUGCUUGAGUAAAUUCAGUCCAUUUCCAUCCCAUCUGUGGCUGUCUGCAACAUGUUAGUACUUAAUAUGUUGCAAAUCUAUGGCUGUCUGCAACGUUUUAUUUCAAUGACAGUUCAGCCUACUGAAACUCAAAUUGCCUACUGCAACGUUUUAUGGCGGCGAGGGCUGACAUGAGACAAAUUGGUGACGGCUUCUCAUCACUCACGGACCAGUAUCUUGCAAAUCUAUGGAAAUCUUCAGGGGUUGUCUAGCAUACUGAACUCUCUGGUCUAUUGAUGCCAAUCCUGCUAGACCCCAAAUUACUCAAAAUCUUCAAGCUUCAGUUAUGUGAAGUACAUUGCAUUAGUGGCACUGCUCUUUUUUGUUUGAGCUCCACUUCCUGUGGAGAAUGCAGGACAAUUAUAAGAGCAAAUAGGUUUAAGAAACACAACACAAUGUGCACGCUUUGGCACAAUGCUUUUACGUGGAAAAAAAACUACUCAGAAUGAGGAGUAAAAAACCACGAGACCAUCACAGCACACUGCAAAAUUUUCCAUUAUGAGGAUGAUGGGUACAAGUAGUCUUUACAAUAUCCAGAGAUAAUACCAGAAGCUGAAAACCAUCAUUAUAAUACCCUUGUAUGACCAAACAUAACCACAAAAGUAAUCAAGAGCAAACAGGAGUUGACCACUUCACCAAGAAAGGUCAUGCUGUUGAAUCUGACAACCAGAAGCAGCCAAUCCAUUUUGGGCACUGCAGAAAAUGGCAACCCAAACUAACAGAAUCUCUCUCAAACUUGAUGUUCCCGCACAGCACUAACACACUAGUUUUCCUGCAGCUCACUCGAAUUAGGUUUCAUUUCUUUCCCAACAAACAAAUUAAAGUAUUGCUCCCAGUAACCUCGUAGAUGUUAUACAUGGAUGUGGCUUCAAAAGAAAGAGGUUACACUUGUUAUCCCUGCAGAAGAGGGCACGCCAGCGAUCCACUGGAUCACUGUAUCAAAAACUUGUGCAAAAUAAAAAUUAAUUAAUUCCAGGAGUUAACUACCUUCACACAAAUGGAAAAGGUUGUUUCUAUAUUUUCUUUGAUAUUCAUACCCACUGGAACCAAAGUGUUAAGCCCCACUUAUAGCACACUUUCAUCUUGAUUUUGAUGGCCUUGCUUCAUCAGGUUUGAGUUUUGUAUUUCACGGACUUGCAGCAAUAACUUCUUGUUCCUCUUCUGUAGCGACUAAUCUCAGUGCUGCAGAAAAAACAAAUAUCAAAAACAAGGUCUGCUAUUUUUUCAGCCUAAACUUUUCAACACCCAUCAUGUGUCUAAUAUAGAUGUAAAAUAGAUGAAGAAAUUCCUAGAUGUGUAUUGGCCAUUGUUGGGCUGUCCCAGGCCAUGUGCCAGGUGGGCGACAGCAUAGGACCGGCAGAAACAUGGAGGCUGAAAAUUUAACCUCUUUACUACUUAGUAUUAUUAGUUAUUAGCAAACCUGAUCAUGCCUCCAGUUAAUGUUUUCUUUUUCUUAUUAUGCGACAACAUUCCAGAAAAAAACACUGUGGUUUCCUUCAUUCCUCUCAAUCCCUUUCCAUAUCUGUCCUGUUGCAGACCAAUAGUUUCCCAUUUUUUAUGAGACAAAAAUAACAGAUCUACUCCAAAUUCUCCUCCCUCUCUUAUUAAUUUGUGAUGUCAUUAGUUUGAUACUUUGAAGUCGUAGUAGUUUAUUGACUAAAUUACCCUAAUGUGGAAAGUUCGGGGCCUAAAUUAGAGUUUGGCACAUGCCCCCAAACUUUCAGUCAUGACCUGCAUGUGUAGCUAGUGUCAGAUUGUCUGUAACCAAAAUAAAAGGUAUUGGUAAGCAUAACAAAGUUCAUGUCUAUCUUAUCCUAUAAAUUUGCUGAACACAUAUAGUAUCGUACUAUCCAUAUUUUCACGUCGGUUACUGAAAAUUUACAUGUUCCCAACAUUGUCAAAUCAUAAACCAAGCAAUGUUGUACCAGAGUGCAGAGGGUCAUAGCAAAAUUGUACCUGGAGUGCAGAAGCUCGUGUAGGGAACAACACAGGGAACACGACCAAGCAAGCCAUCUUCAUCACAUUCCCCCUUGUAUACCUUCCGCACCCGACCAGACUUUAGAUCAAAACUGAAUAGCACACCAUUAUUCAUUCCCACGAAAAAGACAUCAACACCAUGCGCAAAGCCAAGGAAGCCAUAUGAUGGAGCCGGCAUCGACUGGAAGCAACUUCUGAAGCUCAAUGACUCUAGUCCGUGUCCAUCCCACGCCUCCGUUUGGAUUCACCUCCAUUGACCAGAGCAAGAGUCUGGCGGCCAUAUCCACUCUUGCAAAUCCCAGCCCACCACCCUCCAUCUCCAUGAGCGCAAUAGCACAAUUGGAGGCUGGAGGUAAGUGAACCACAGAUGUCUCCGAUGUGGCCAAAUCAAAACCAAGGACCCUACUGCCAUUAUCAAUCGAGAAGUAGAGUGUGUUCCCCACAAGGGCAGUAGGCACUAGAUCGACGCUGCACUUGGGGACCAGAGUCGGCUCGCUCCAGCAGGCUGCCGCCGAUGAGUAGACGCGCAAGGACCAGCGCUGGACCUGGCUGUAGCUGUAGUACUUGGUGACAAAGCGAACGACGACGAAGGCUGUACCGUCGGCCGUGGGCUCGCGGAGCACAGUCGCGUACCACUCGUCCCGUUCGCAGUCGUCCAGGACUGGUAUCUCCCACCGCUCGCCCGUUGUCGGGUCCCAGAUGACGAGGGCGUCGACCUCGUCGUCACCCAGGACGAAGUGGAGGACGACGAGGCCGUGGCGGGCGUCGAGGACGACGCAGUCGCGGACCUCCUCCUCGCAGCCGGUGUGUCUCGGGCGGAAAGAGGAGGUGGGGACGAACCAGGCGAACAAGGGGUUGCACAGGAAGCCGAGCAGUGGUGCUGUGCGGUGGAACUCCAUGAACCGGCGGCGGAAGCUGCGGGCACAGACGAUGCGGCACCAGGGCUUGCAGACGAGCGCGGCGCGGACGAGGCUCGCGGGAUCGGCCGGUGGGAGGCGGAGGAGUAUCUCUUCGACGACGUCGGCCGGCAGCUCCAUACUGCUACAGAUCCGGGGAGAGCAGCGGCGCAAGCGCGAGGCUGAGGCGGAGGCGUGGGUGCCUGCUGCAACAGCGGAGUUUUUUAUUUUAUUUUAUUUUUUUAAGCUGCGUCAGCGGAGAUGGGCUGCGACGGGCCGUUCAGCUUCUCGAGUGGAAAGGCCUUCGAUUUUUCUGUUCCAUUUUUUGCUGCACAGCCCACGGGAAUUCUAAUGAAAUCUUCAGGGGUUGCGUUGCGUGGCAUACUGAACCCUGUUGUCUGUUGAUGCCAACCCUAUUAGACAAAUUGCUCCAAAUGUUUCUACUGCAUUCUAUCCAGGCCUGCCCGCAACGCAUGAGUGAUGGUAACUUCUUGUCAUCAUUCACGUUUCCUGUGUGUGAUGCUAUGGCUGAUCAAGGCACAAAAGCUGGCAAUGAGGUUUAGCAUCUUUGAGGGUUAUACUAAUCUUUAAAAGAGACUGGUCCAUGUCACCAUGGAGAAGUUAUCAAUGUCGUUGAGGGUUCAUAGUAAUCUGUAAAGGAUGAUGGAGUUUAGAGUAGACUAGUGAAGGUCCAAGUGCUCGUUUUGUUUGAGCCCCACUUCCUGUACCUGUAGCAAAUGGGGCAGGAAAAUUAUAAGAGCAAGGAGGUUUAAGAAAACAACACAAUGUCCACACUUUGAUAAUGCUUUUAUGUGGAAAAACUCCUCAAAAUGAGGAGUAAAAAACCACGGGACCAUCACGGUCCACUGCCAAACUUUCCAUUAUAUGAGGAUGAUGAAUACCAUGUACUCUUUACAAUAUCUAGAGAUAAUACCAGAUCUGAAAACCAUCAUAAUAAAACCCUUGCACGACCAAACAUAACCACGAAUGUAACCUUGAGCUAACAGGAGUUAACCACUUCACCAACAUAAGGUCAUGCCGUUGAAUCCUGAAGCAGUCAAUCCAUUUUGCACGCUGCUGAACAAUGGCAACGCAAACUAAAAAAGUCUCUCUCAAACGUGAUGUUCUUCUAGCACAGUACACAAAUUUUUCCACAGCUGCGGCUCAAGUAAAACAUGUUUUACUGAACUUCUUUUCAAGUCUAUCUUUGGAGCAACGUGGCAUCUAAACUUGUCCGUGCAAAGGUGUUUUUCUCCCUUUUGAACCCCAGUAUCUUGAACAUGACUUAAGACCAUGCCAGUUUCUAGGCUCAUUGAUGCUGCUGCAACUGCAAUGGAACUAUGAAAUGACUGCACCUCUACCAGUUGCAGCAUCGCUACUCACUUGGUACAAAGAACAUCCAUAGUUCAGAACAAUCCCUUUCCUAAAACAGAAGACAAAUUGAAUAACUGAAGUCACUUAUUUGCAUAAUGUCACGGACAUAAUAUUAAUCUCUAUGUAUCCUAAUGUCACCACAUUGACAGAGAAGCAAAUACUAUUCAUUUUCAAAAAUUGUAAAAUAUCUAUAUUUUCAUUAUCUUCAAAUUCAGUUAUGAGUGUUCAUUUUAUAUUAUCAGAAAAAUCAGUAUGUUUCAUAGAGGCUUCCAACAUUAAGACCUAUUUGUAUAAUUAUGUACUGUAAUAUUGUAUGGGCAUGGCUAUUUAAAAGGUCAAAAAGGGGACACAGCAGCCAGAUAGAUCUAAAUAAUGAAACAAGCUACAACGUCAUAUCAGUAUGGCUCGGUGACUGACUGACGCUCCUAACAUAACCAGAGAGAGAGAGAGAGAGAGAGAGAGAGAGAGAGAGAGAGAGAGAGAGAGUUUCAAAUGUUCAGCCUUCUAAUAUUUUAGCCCCAUUCAUUAGCAAGCUUCAAGUAAGAAAACAAAUUUUACAUGCUAUUAACACUAGAGAAAUGUCACUACGCAUCUCCUUGCUCUCCUAUUCCUGACACAAGGCCUUCCUUGCUGAGCGAUGGACCGGCCAAACUGGCCAACCUGUUAAUGCGCUCUGGGGUUUCAGCGCCGCUGAGAGAUGCCGCCGAUGGAUGUCCACACACUCGAUGCACCUGGCCGCGUGCCGCGGCUAUCCAUGAUUCUUUCAGGGACGAGGUUGCUGGCGUCGCGCAGGAGGUUCCUCUAGGGAUGCAAUGCGAUGCUCGCCUCCGUCAGUAGCACGGCAUCAGGCAGGCAUUCCACCUGCAGCAAGUUUCAGAGAAUAAUGUGGUAUCAAUUUCAGCAAUAGCUUCCACUUACGUGCCUGCCUGCCUGCCUGUCUGCCUGGAUUAAUUUCAAAUGCUCAGCAAGAGAUGACUAGUCCCACUACCUGAGUGAAGCUGCUAGCAAUCGCAAGAUGCUCCUUGUCAAUAUCCAUGCUGACAACAAGCGCUGGAAGCCUGUUAUGGUCUCACGGUUUCUUUCACUUCUAUACGUCUACGGCCUCUGCAGAUGCCCCCAUAUGUGCUGAGACAUAGUUCAAGCAUCAGCGACAACUGACGCUACUAAGAAGGCGAGGGAUGUCAAUAGCAGGUUAUAGCAGAGGUUAACCUCCAUCGACGAGUACAGUGGAUGCGCCCCGAUUGAGUACUGACGCUCCCUCUGCUGUCAGAAACUGGCUCCUCCGAGGAAGUUGAGUCUUCCUCACGCGGGUAGUUGCUCCAGCAAGCGGCGAUGCCAUGGCGAUGCUCGUUUCCGUCAGUAGCAUGACGUCAGGCGUUUAACCUGCAGCAAGUUUCAGAUAAAAUGUGGCAUCAACUUCUGCAUUAAUUUUCAAUCAUGCGCCGGCAAAACCAAGGGAUGGCUAGUCCCACUCAGUACCUGAGACAAGCUGCUCAGCAAACACAAAAGAUGCGCCUUGUGAUUAGCCAUUCCGACAACAAGCGCUAGAGGCCCUUCUGGUCAGUCUCACAGUUUGUAUCAAGUCUGAUAAUGCCUUUGCAGAUGACUUAGUGCUAGUUAGUAUGGGCUGGGACAUAGUUCAAGUAUCAGCGACUGACUGGUGCUACUGAAAGGGAAGGUCGGAAGGAUAUGUCAUGAGCAGGUUACAGCAGAGGUUAACCUCCACCGAUGGAUGAGUACAUACAGUGGAUGUGCCAUCCUCCUAGGAAGUUGGGUCUCCUCUAAGUCGGCUUGGAUCGAAACGGCAGAGAUAUCCCAUCGUUAACUUACCAAACCCAUGCAAUAGACAGGAAAAAACACAACAGUGAAUGCGUGUGAUAAACGAAAAACAGACAAAUGAAGGAUCAAAUGUUCAGCCUUAUAAUAUUUCAGCCUCAUUCAUGAUCAAUCUUAACUUUGGAGAAAUGUCACUUCGAUGACACUGAAUGGAUGGACUGUCAGCAAAUUGGCUUGGAAAUAUGGUUACCUUGACUAGUACGGAGACAAAGACCUGCGCAAGCAGCUGUGACAGUGUUCCAGCGCUGAUGACCUCCCAGCAGCUGGAGGUAUACAUCAUCCAAUCCAACCGACUGAAAAGGGAAGUUUGCGCUGAUCAGUUAGAAGAUUUGAAAAAACAGAUGGGAGCCUAUCACAUUCAGACUAAGUAGGUUACGUCGCGAUGAAACUCACCAAUGGUACAUCAUUUAAAAUCUCGAUGCUGAUGUAACAGCAUUGAUAUAUGGCUUUCCAUUAUCCCAACUUAUGCAUUUUGUAAAGUUCUUCAUGCCAGGGUCACAAGCAGAUAUCACGGGAGAUUGCAUCGUCAAGAAUGCCCUGUAACGAAAAAUUUGCUCAAUCUCUGCUCAAAAUGGUCCACCAAUCACAGUCUGACCAAAAAAAAUGUUUGAUAUCCAGGUUACAUGUUGUCUAGAACCUAAACCAAGAUGGAAUAAAAAAAAAACCCUGAAACGUAGUAUCAUUGAUUUGGACCAUGUAUGCUAUGUCAAGCAAUUCAAAUAAGAGUGAAGAUUUAAGAACAAAGUUGCAGCACAAAUUCUAAUGAUUGGAAAGGAUUAAAGAAGCUAAAUCAGAGAAAACUGGAAGAGGGAUGGUUCCUAAUACUGUUACAGUGGUGCUCUUUGCAUGCAGUGCAAUGUAACAAGGUAAGGUGCCACUGAUCAGAUAAUAACAAAGUAAAAUGGCCACCAAAAAAAAUUGAGCUACUUCACAUUCAGCAACUAACAUGGGUUAUCCGUUGGUGGAACCUUUUGGAAAAAAAAUAGUGCAAAAAAAAGGAAGUGUUUGUUACCUUGGAUUAGCAGCGUCGGAACUUAACUAUGGGUAUUGUUCCUUGCAGCUUCCGGCACUGCUUCUGUAGCUUCUCGUUGCUAUAACUGACAUCUAGCAUUUGAAGUGAAUUCGGGAGGCUGCCCUCAUGUAGCGACCUGAUAGCAGGACAGAAGCGGAUCUGUAAUAUCUUCAGUGAACUUGGAAGGCUUCCCUUUGGUAGCGACCGGAAGGCACGGCAACGAAUUAUGUGUAGUUCUGUCAGCGAACUUGGGAGGGUGCCCUUGGGCAGUGACCGGAUGGCAUCACAGCUCCAGAUUUGUAAUUCCACCAGGGAACAUGGGAGGGUGCCCUUCGGCAGAGACUGUAUGGCCUUGCAGUUGCUGAUUUGUAAUACUACCAGUGAACUUGGAAGUCCGCCCUUGGGUAGGGACCGAAAGCAGUCACAGAACCGGAUCUCUAAUCUCUUGAGGUUGGGAAGCCCACUUAACCCCUCUGGAAGGGACUGCAGCCUCGAGUACCACCCAAUAUGAAGAACCUGGAGGGAGGUGAGCAUCAGCAGGGCCUCCGAUUGCUCCAUUGUGAAGUGAUCCAAGUCGUCAUUCUUACCAAGCCAUAGCUCGGAGAGAGAGGAAGAGAAGUGGCCACCGAUGGGCACAGCAACGGCGCCCCCUGCUUCCUCAUCCGUUUCGAGCGCCGGCAGCCUGGAGCUAUGUUGGGGAAGAACUUGUUCGCACAUCCGCGAAGGCUCUGGGACAUCAAGUAAGUUGUGCGCCCCAUAGAUUACUAAUUCCUUGAGACGACCCUGGGCGAGGAGAUGCCAUAGGUCCUCAGAUCUUAGACCCCCACAAUCAUAUAGGUCCAAUUCGGUCAGAUUUGUGAGAGGAGCCAGCGUCAGCAUGCCAUCCUUCACACCCUCAAGCACGAGGGACUGCAGGGAGGUCGGGAAAGGGCAGUAAAAGGAGGGGAGCAAACUGGAGGAUAGAAGCAUGGGGCAAUCAUCUAUAAACAGUGAUCUCAGAGAGCUCUGAUUUUGGAGCAACUCCUUCAAUUGGAGGGGCAUGGGCAGCUGUCCUCCUACUGCAGCUUCUAUUUCCUCUGCUCCGCCUGCCUGCUUGUUAUCACACCUCCGUAGUUGCAACAUUGAGAGGUUAGUGAAAUAAGAGAUUAGCUGUACCAAUUCCUUCAAAGUGGCACCACAAUCUGAUAUCUGGAGCUGUUCAACUGGGAACUCGAAUGGGGAAUCAUUCUCACCUUCAGUUGGCCACAGGACACUACUAAAGUCACUUAUCUGAAGGGUCUUCAGAGAAUUUAGCAGCUGCAGGUGAUGUAGAGGCACUUGUGAGCAUCCAAAAAUCCUGAACUCCUUUAUUUCACUCAGAUUAGUAAAGGCCAAUACAUUCCAGAGUUCACAAUCAAGAGCAUCCUUUUUGAACACUACAUGAACUUUCUGCUCAUUUUUCAUAUAAUCUAUUUCCUGAGUACUUGUGCCCACUUCACACAGUCUAGCUUUGGACAGAGAACUACUCCAGGGAAUUGGUGGCACUGACACUAGCUUCUCACAUCUUGAAAUAUAGAUCUGCUGUAGGAUGGGAAACAUGUGCGGAGAUGGCAGCUCUGUAAGUUCAACACAAUCCUUAAUUGUGAGUACCUCUAGCGUAGAGAAAGGAUCAUCUGCACUCCAUCUUUUCAGAGUUGCUAUGUUGACAAGUUCUAGCCUCUUCAGAUUCUGAAAGAUUUGGCCAGCGAUGCUUGGUUGGUCUUCACCAACCAUCAAGAACUCUCCUAGCAGAGGUGGAAGACUUUUCCACGCUACACCUUCAAGGCAAAGGCAUUCCAAAUUCUUAACAGAGUGGUCUGUACAUAGCCAAGUAGGGUAUGUGUAACCUCCAUGUCCUCUAAUGCACACUUCUUGAAGAUUACUGUGUGGUUUAAGGCAUUCAAGAACAUCUUCUUCUUUUUUGGGGUCCUUGUUAGGUUGGUUUCCAUCCCAAUGUAACAGUAAUCGAUUUAAGUGGUGCAUGUAGACUAACUUGGUUUUUUCCACUUCUGCUGUUGCUUCAACCUUUUCAAGAUUAUGAAUCUCCAGUGACCCUUGGAGCUGUAACAAUUGCCUUAAUUGAUUCAGUUCAAACCCAUGUUUUUCUCUUUUGACCUCAAACCUCCUUAGCUCUUGUAUAGAUUUUAGUUUCCCAACCUCAGAAAUUUCAGAAUGACAAGAAUCAUAUGGCACAAGAAAAUGACGAAUUUUCACUAGGUUACUCAAUUCUCUUGUAGAACUAAAAUUAUUGCAUUGUUUUACAUCUAGGACCAACAAGUUAUAAAAUCUAGAUAUACUGCCAACUAGACUUGUUUCAUUUAAUACAUAACCCUUGAUCCUUAAGUAACGAAGAUGGACAAGUUGUGAAAAACUAGGCAACAAAAGCUCCACAUCAUAAGAUGCUCCAGAUAAGAAAAUGACAUGAAGGGCUUUUGCUUCCCGAAACAUAUCACUAAGUAUUUGACAAAAGCUUCCAUGGUGAUCUCCAAAUAACAUCAAAGUAUGUAGGUUUCCAGCUUUCAAUUUUUUACCAAGUGUAUCAAGGUCGCUCUUACGAUUUUCAAAUGUUGUUCUGUCUUGGACAUCUGCAUCAUUUAUGAUGAUGGACAUGUGAUGUAUUGAUGUGGGAAUUUGUAUUGACCAGACAUCAGACCCUUUUAUGCUAAGACAUUCAUGUGCUGCAACAUAUCUUGCCAAGUCAUGGAGUAGGUCAUGGAUCACAUAAUUUGUGUGGCCAUCCUCUUUUUUUUCUUCUUGGAAGAAACCGUGACUAACCAAGUCACAUAAAUAACAUAGUCCAGUGUCUUCGAUUCUCUUGUUUUGAUCAUUGGGGCCCAACAACCCUAGUCCAAUCCACAAGUGGAUUAACUCUUCCCUUCCAAAUUCAUAAUCUUCAGGGAACAAGGCACAGUGAGAAAAACACUGUUGUAGAUGGAAAGGAAGAUAGUUAUAGCUGAGCUUUAAUGCUGGCAUAAUGUCAUCCUCAUUGGCCUGAUAUUCCCAUUCUUUACUCUCAAAUACUCUUCUCCAAUGGUCCACGGUAAGUUCAGAUUUUAGCAAUCUACCAACAGUUUUUACUGCAAGAGGAAAACCUUUCAAUUUCUUCACUAUUUCCCACCCAACGGCAUGCAAAUUAGUAUGCUCUUCCCAUGGUUGUUUUUCAUCAAAAACACAUGCUUUGAAGAAAUGCAUGCAUUCUUCGUCAUUUAAGCGUUCCAAUCUUAUUGGACAGCCUAUUGUUGUAACCAAUUGUGCCACCUUUGGGAUUCUUGUUGUGACUAUUACCAUAUUACCUUUUGUUUGUACUUUCUUAAAUGGGGCUAGUAUUUUUUUCCAAUCAUCUUCAUGAUAUGUCCACAUGUCAUCCAAGACAAGAAAAAACUGUUUGGACUGUAAUCUUUUUUCAAUUAACUCUUCAACACUCUCAUUCCCAUUUUCAUUGUCAAGUUUAGGAAUUUGUUUCACAAUUUCUUGUGCCAACCUAUUUGCAUUGAAAUUUUGAGAGACACAUACCCAUAACAUGACUUGGAAGUGGCACUUUACUUCUUGAUAAAUGUGUUGUGUGAGUGUUGUCUUUCCAAGACCCCCUGGACCAACUAUUGAAAGCACAGUGAGAUCACUGCCCCGAUAUUUAGAGGUUAUUCCAUCUAUGAUAUCCUUUUUCACUUUAUCCCUCCCAUAUAACUUUGGCUCUAUGAUUUGUGGGGUCGUUGUUCUGGUUGUUUGGUUCAAUGUAGCACCUUGAAGGCCUAUGGUGCCUUUGGAGGCUAUGGUUCCCAACAGCUCUAGAUCAAGAAUAGUGGAGACCUUUGCACAUAACGGCUUGAGAUCAUCUACAAGUUGCGCCAGCCGAUUGGACAUAGCCAUCCUAUUGAACUUGGGCUUUGGUUUUCUAUGAUGCUGGCACAAAAAAGGAGCACAGGAGCAUGAUGGGAGCUUCAGCUUACUGACGACGGCCCCAGCCGUGUGGCGAACAUUGAGGACGAGGCCCUGGACAAGACCCUGAGCAUCAGCAUCAUCAAUGGCCUCAUAGGUCCCUUGGAGCUCGUCCUGGACACGGAAGUACUCCAGCUCAUCCAGCGCAUCAUCCGCGUCAUACGCUUUCUGGCGGAGCUCCAGGAGCAGGUGCCCCAGUGCGGGGUUAUGGACGCCCCUGCCACGGGCAUUGUUCAGCAUCCCCUGCGCGUACAAGAGCUCCAGCUUGAGGGCACGGAUGUUCGGGCCUAGCUCCGAACAGGCCGCCCACGACUCCAAGAGGCCAUCGGAGACAGGCCCCAGCGCCUUGCCCACCGCCCAGCGUGCCGCACCAAUGGCGAUCUCCAUUGAUUAUCCUCGGCUCCUCACUUGAAAAGGUGUUCAGGCAAUGAUGGUGACGAUGCUAGCUGCAUACAGGGAGUCGCUCAUAUUGUUACUACUAGCUAUGGAUAUAUAUGAGUAGUGUCAUUGCCCUACUACCCUUUGUCCGAUCCACAAAAGCAAUGCAAGGUCAAAGAGAUGAAGCAACUUACAUACGCAGGGUCGGCGAGAGUUCGAAUGUCUGGCCGGAGCUGCACAGUGAAGGUAGUCGAUUGGAAAGAUUGGCAGAUUGACGGUGAGGAUGUUAGCUGCAGAGAAUCCAUCGUAUUGUUAGUUGUUACUAGUAGCUAUGGAUAAGAGUACUGUAUGACGGUGAGGAUGUUAGCAAUGCAAGGUCAAAAAGAUGAAAAUGCUUAUACACAUACGCAAGGUCAGCACAAGCGAGGGGGAGCGCCUGGCCAGAUCGAGCUGCACUAGACGUGGACGUAGAUAGACAACAACGCCAAGUAGUGCUGAAGAGUCAAAUAUGCAAGAGCGGGCGGAUUGCGAGGUCAGACGGAACUGAUGUGUGUGAAGGACGAGAGGAGACCUGGAAGAAAGAAAUAGAAGCCCGCAGGCUGGGGCUGGGAGGUGGCCCUAUGCCUAGGAUGAUUAAUAUUUAAUUGCCAUUAGUUUAGCAGAAAGCAGAGGCAACACUUGGCUUUAAGAUACUAUCGUGCAAGCUAAGUAAGGUACUAAUCCACACCAAAAGAGAAAGCAGAAGAAUAAAACAACCUUAGUGUUAGUUAAUUUCAGACUACCUUGCUUAUUGGCCCCUGGGGCAGUGGCAGAGCCAAGAAUAUACACUAAAUUGACAAUAUUCGUUCCCUUGUGCAAACAUAUGAGACCACGCAUGCUGCUUAAUUACUUUAUUACUGCUUUGCUGCAGAACAAGACGUGCUGUCCAGGGUAACACCACAGCAUCUCUCUUUAGUUAGCCUGGAAAUCUGUGUUGGUUGGGUAUGGCAUAAUAUUACUUCUCUGCAGGCGAAAGAAGGAGCGAUGGGACAGCAAAGCAUCGUGGUAAGACAAAGCUUUAGCAAGCUAAGAGAUUUUGCGACAAGCAUGGAUGCCAUGGAACUUGUAAAAAGGACACUCCGCUUAAGAUCUUGCGCACCUAAAUGACGGAUUGCAGGCACACAGAGUCAAAGCGUUUCAGAUAAUCACAUCUGCCAAGAAUACUUUAGACAGGACGGACUGGUGCCGGACUAAUGGCGCGCGUCAUUACCUUGGGAGUUGGGGGACCUCUGGUUCAUGUUCAUGUACCCCCAAAUUGUAACCGGUUUUUUGAAGUACACAAAGCCCUACUGUAUUGUCUGCACUUAAAACUCAAUGGACGGGGCGCCGGGCGAGGGAAGGUGAAAAGCACUCUAUGUCUCUAUAUGGUAGACGUAGAUAAGACCUAAUUAAGUGCCGCUAGUUUAGCACAGGAAGCCAGAGACAAAAGUUGGUUGAAGAUAUUGGUUGUGCCAAGUUAAGUAUGGUUGUGCUACUAAUUAAUCCCCACCCGAAAAAAAAUCAAUAAUGGCACGAGCAGCUAGCAAGAAUGAGAGUAUGAAACAAUGCCCAGCCUUACUGAUUGUGAUUUAUACCUUGCUUGGCCCCGAGCAGCCGGCGCCGGUGCAGGAGCUUGCAAGGGAGGCGCAGCAGCAACGCCAUUUGGGGGAUUGGUUUUGCGGUUUUGCCCCCGCGCCUGCCACCCUGCCGGCUGCCCCACGCCCCGCCGACCGGCCGAGCCGCCGGUGGCGUGCCCGUGACUGGCCCCAUCCCGACUCGCCUACGCCUGCUACCCGUGGCGUGCCUCUUGCCGUCGUCACGGACCCGCCGCCGCUUCCCCGGCGGCCAUGGCUCAUUGGCGGCUAGCUCAUUGGGAAUUGGGGAACUACGAGUGAGCCGAGCCGUGAAAAGGCCUGCUCGGCUAGUCUGAUGCGUAGUGGGCAUGUUGGGCCGCCAUACAAUACAACCCAGAAAAGAAAGAAAAACGAGUCCUUUUCAUCACCAUUUAAAAAACUAUUCAUUCACAAAGUCCCAUUUUCCUCCCUUGUAUAUGAAUGAAAAUAUGAUUUUGAUCUCCUUCAACCUUUAAAAACGUUCUUGCGCCCUCUGAUUGCAAAAGUCCUUUAAAAUAAAACUGUGUUUCUUCCUCUGCGUUCCUUCUGAAAAGGCACUGAUGUCUUUUUUAAAGAAACGUUGAAAAUCUUCAAGGUUUUCCUGAUCGACUAGUCUGAUGACGCCAAGCCUGCAUUACUCCAAAUCAUCAGGUUUCAGUUAAUUCAAGUCCAUUCCACCCGGGCUUGCCUGAAAGGCUGCAAUGCAUCAGUGACAGCAAAUUCUUAUUGUCAUUGACGUUUACAGCAUGUUUUUUUACCAAUAUAUGUUAGAGUUAUGGACUUGAGCAGAUCUUUUAAUUUGGAGAAAACUUAAAGCAAAUUUUGAUGCACAUAAUCACAUAGACUGGCCAUACACAUCCAUCAACUACAGAUUGAUGGAAUCAUGAAUCAUCUAUCCAUGUACCAUUUGGGAGGAUUGGCUGGAUUAGACCGUUUCCAUCCACCUCCAAACUUUCCACUGUAUAAGGAUGAUGGAUACAAGUUAUCUUUACAAUCUCUAGAGAUUACACAAGAAGCUGAAAAGCAUCAUUGUAAAACCAAGAGCUAACAGGAGGUAACUAUUUCACCGAAACAAUGUCACACUGCUAAAUCUGGCAGCCUGAAGUUGCUGAUCCAUUCCGCAUACCGCUGAAUAAUGGUAAACCCAAAAACAGAGAAAACUUCUCAAACAUCAUCUCCAUUCAGCUGCUACUGACACACCAGUCUUCUCCGUAGCUGCUACUGAAGCAAAAGAAUUUUUUUUAACUUUUUUGAGCUGCCUCUUUGGAGGAAGGAGGCAUGUAAACUCUUCUUUGGAAGUUAAGAAGACAUCCUGGAAAAAGAAUAAUGGAUUUUGUUUCUCACCCUGACCAUCCUAUAGCAGUUGAUCCAGCCUCAACCCCUCAACCAUUCAAAUCUUCACACACCAAAUCCAAAUACUGAACAUGUAUGUUUCAAGAUAAUGAAACAGAACAGCUAUCACAGAAAUGAACCGUGCUACUAAUUAAGUAACAAAUGGAAUACGUAAGGUUUGGUUAGCCUCACUAUCCAGCACAAAUCAAUAGCCAAGAAGAAAUCUCUACAAUACAAUAACCAGCUAGAAAUAUUCAGUUUAACUUUCAGAGUGCAAUGUAUGCAAUUAACAAGCUUACACCUCGGCGAACAUAAUGUGUUGACUGUUGACUUCUCACAAAAGACAAUCUACUUUCCACAGAAUUUCAACAUGCUCAAUUGCUCAUUGGUGACCAGUGCUCACUCGAAUUAGGUUUCAUUUCUUUCCCAACAAACAAAUUAAAGUAUUGCUCCCAGUAACCUCGUAGAUGUUAUACAUGGACGUGGCUUCAAAAGAAAGAGGUUACACUUGUUAUCCCUGCAGAAGAGGGCACGCCAGCGAUCCACUCGAUCACUGUAUCAAAAACUUGUGCAAAAUAAAAAGCAAUUAAUUCCAGGAGUUAACUACCUUCACACAAAUGGAAAAGGUAGUUUCGAUAUUUUCUUCGAUAUUCAUACCCACUGGAACCAAAGUGUUAAGCCCCACUUAUAGCACACUUUCAUCUUGAUUUUGAAGGCCUUGCUUCAUCAGGUUUGAGUUUUGUAUUUCAUGGACUUGCAGCAAUAGCUUCUGGUUCCUCUUCUGUAGCGACUAAUCUCAGUGCUGCAGAAAAAAACAAAUAUCAAAAACAAGGUCUGCUGAUUGCGGAAUUGAUAAUCCAUCAGUGAACAUUUAAUUACCAACCAAUCACAUGUUCCAACAAGUUGCUACAACUAAAAAAGCAACAAUACAUCCUAUAAUCUCAGCUCCAUCAGUUAAUAAGUUGCAUAGAUCAUUAACAGAAGAUAGACUUAGAGCUCCUGAGGAACCUCCCUUUGUUUAACAUAAUAGCAUCAUCAAUAUACUCUAUCUUAUUAACUGACAUUCAACCGAUCAAGGGUAAGAAAUUAGAAAUGUGCUGCAUUGAACAAAGGCACAAGGUAGACAUCUAUAGUGUAGAGUAACAACUUUAGUGCUAUUUUUUCAGCCUAAACUUUUCAACACCCAUCAUGUGUCUAAUAUAGAUGUAAAAUAGAUGAAGAAAUUCCUAGAUGUGUAUUGGCCAUUGUUGGGCUGUCCCAGGCCAUGUGCCAGGUGGGCGACAGCAUAGGACCGGCAGAAACAUGGAGGCUGAAAAUUUAACCUUUUUACUACUUAGUAUUAUUAGUUAUUAGCAAACCUGAUCAUGCCUCCAGUUAAUGUUUUCUUUUUCUUAUUAUGCGACAACAUUCCAGAAAAAACACUGUGGUUUCCCUCCUUCCUCUCAAUCCCUUUCCAUAUCUGUCCUGUUGCAGACCAAUAGUUUCCCAUUUUUUAUGAGAAAAAAAAUAACAGAUCUACUCCAAAUUCUCCUCCCUCUCUUAUUAAUUUGUGAUGUCAUUAGUUUGAUACUUUGAAGUCGUAGAAGUUUAUUGACUAAAUUACCCUAAUGUGGAAAGUUCGGGGCCUAAAUUAGAGUUUGGCACAUGCCCCCAAACUUUCAGUCAUGACCUGCAUGUGUAGCUAGUGUCAGAUUGUCUGUAACCAAAAUAAAAGGUAUUGGUAAGCAUAACAAAGUUCAUGUCUAUCUUAUCCUAUAAAUUUGCUGAACACAUAUAGUAUCGUACUAUCCAUAUUUUCGUUACUGAAAAUUUACAUGUUCCCAACAUUGUCAAAUCAUAAACCAAGCAAAGUUGUACCGGAGUGCAGAGGGACAUAGCAAAAUUGUACCUGGAGUGCAGAAGCUCGUGUAGGGAACAACACAGGGAACACGACCAAGCAAGCCAUCUUCAUCACAUUCCCCCUUGUAUACCUUCCGCACCCGACCAGACUUUAGAUCAAAACUGAAUAGCACACCAUCAUUCAUUCCCACGAAAAAGACAUCAACACCAUGCACAAAGCCAAGGAAGCCAUAUGAUGGAGCCGGCAUCGACUGGAAGCAACUUCUGAAGCUCAAUGACUCUAGUCCGUGUCCAUCCCACGCCUCCGUUUGGAUUCACCUCCAUUGACCAGAGCAAGAGUCUGGCGGCCAUAUCCACUCUUGCAAAUCCCAGCCCACCACCCUCCAUCUCCAUGAGCGCAAUAGCACAAUUGGAGGCUCGAGGUAAGUGAAUCACAGAUGUCUCCCUUGUGACCAAAUCAAAACCAAGGACCCUACUGCCAUUAUCAAUCGAGAAGUAGAGUGUGUUCCCCACAAGGGCAGUGGGCACUAGAUCGACGCUGCACAUGGGGACCAGAGUCGGCUCGCUCCAGCAGGAUGCCGCCGAUGAGUAGACGCGCAAGGACCAGCGCUGGCCCUGGCUGCAGCUGUAGUACUUGGUGACAAAGCGAACGACGACGAAGGCUGUACCAUCGGCCGUGGGCUCGCGGAGCACAGUCGCGUACCACUCGUCCCGUUCACAUUCGUCCAGGACUGGUAUCUCCCACCGCUCGCCCGUUGUCGGGUCCCAGAUGACGAGGGCGUCCACCUCGUCGUCACCCAGGACGAAGUGGAGGACGACGAGGCCGUGGCGGGCGUCGAGGACGACGCAGUCGCGGACCGGCGGCGGAAAGAGGAGGUGGGGACGAACCGGGCGAACAAGGGGUUGCAGAGGAAGCCGAGCAGUGGUGCUGUGCGGUGUAACUCCUUGAACCGGCGGCGGAAGCUGCGGGCACAGACGAUGCGGCACCAGGGCUUGCAGACGAGCGCGGCGCGGACGAGGCUCACGGGAUCGGCCGGUGGGAGGCGGAGGAGGAUCUCUUCGACGACGUCGGCCGGCAGCUCCAUACUGCUACAGAUCCGGGGAGAGGAGCGGCGCUGCCUGGUGCGAAUUGGCGCGUUUAGAGUAGACUAGUGAAGGUCCAAGUGCUCGUUUUGUUUGAGCCCCACUUCCUGUACCUGUAGCAAAUGGGGCAGGAAAAUUAUAAGAGCAAGGAAGUUUAAGAAAACAACACAAUGUCCACACUUUUGAUAAUGCUUUUAUGUGGAAAAACUCUCAAAAUGAGGAGUAAAAAACCAUGGGACCAUCACGGUCCACUGCCAAACUUUCCAUUACAUGAGGAUGAUGAAUACCAUGUACUCUUUACAAUAUCUACAGAUAAUAUUAGAUCUGAAAACCAUCAUAAUAAAACCCUUGCACGACCAAACAUAACCACGAAUGUAACCUUGAGCUAACAGGAGUUAACCACUUCACCAACAUAAGGUCAUGCCGUUGAAUCCUGAAACAGUCAAUCCAUUUUGCACGCUGCUGAACAAUGGCAACACAAACUAAAAAAGUCUCUCUCAAACGUGAUGUUCUUCUAGCACAGUACACAAGUUUUUCCACAGCUGCGGCUCAAGUAAAACAUGUUUUACUGAACUUCUUUUCAAGUCUAUCUUUGGAGCAACGUGGCAUCUAAACUUGUCCGUGCAAAGGUGUUUUUCUCCCUUUUGAACCCCAGUAUCUUGAACAUGACUUAAGACCAUGCCAGUUUCUAGGCUCAUUGAUGCUGCUGCAACUGCAAUGGAACUAUGAAAUGACUGCACCUCUACCAGUUGCAGCAUCGCUACUCACUUGGUACAAAGAACAUCCAUAGUUCAGAACAAUCCCUUUCCUAAAACAGAAGACAAAUUGAAUAAUUGAAGUCACUUAUUUGCAUAAUGUCACGGACAUAAUAUUAAUCUCUAUGUAUCCUAAUGUCACCACAUUGACAGAGAAGCAAAUACUAUUCAUUUUCAAAAAUUGUAAAAUAUCUAUAUUUUCAUUAUCUUCAAAUUCAGUUAUGAGUGUUCAUUUUAUAUUAUCAGAAAAAUCAGUAUGUUUCAUAGAGGCUUCCAACAUUAAGACCUAUUUGUAUAAUUAUGUACUGUAAUAUUGUAUGGGCAUGGCUAUUUAAAAGGUCAAAAAGGGGGCAGCAGCCAGAUAUAUCUAAAUAAUGAAACAAGCUACAACGUCAUAUCAGUAUGGCUCAGUGACUGACUGACGCUCCUAACAUAACCAGAGAGAGAGAGAGAGAGAGAGUUUCAAAUGUUCAGCCUUCUAAUAUUUUAGCCCCAUUCAUUAGCAAGCUUCAAGUAAGGAAACAAAUUUUACAUGCUAUUAACACUGGAAAAAUGUCACUUCAAUGAAACUGGAUGGAUGGAGUGUCAGCAAAUUGGCUUGGAACUAAUAAAAUUUCUAUGUCUAAUAAAAUUUACAGGCACAACUUUAUUUUUGUCGUCUUUACAAAAAACAAAAAAAAUGAGAGAAAGGAGGUGAGAUACUGAGAGAGAUAUUUUGCAGAAGUAGCGCCUCAAAAGCCAGCAGUCUUGUAGGAGUACAAAACAGCGGGCUGCUGUGCUGCCGCCCCACACACGACCUGCGAACCCCAGGAUG